UGGGGAAUAUUGCACAAUGGAGGGAACUCUGAUGCAGCGACGCCGCGUGAACGAAGAAGGCUUUCGAGUCGUAAAGUUCUUUUAUAUGGGAAGAUAAUGACGGUACCAUAAGAAAAAGCCCCGGCUAACUACGUGCCAGCAGCCGCGGUAAUACGUAGGGGGCUAGCGUUGUCCGGAAUCACUGGGCGUAAAGGGUUCGCAGGCGGAAAUGCAAGUCAGGUGUAAAAGGCAGUAGCUUAACUACUGUAAGCAUUUGAAACUGCAUAUCUUGAGAAGAGUAGAGGUAAGUGGAAUUUUUAGUGUAGCGGUGAAAUGCGUAGAUAUUAAAAAGAAUACCGGUGGCGAAGGCGACUUACUGGGCUCAUUCUGACGCUGAGGAAUGAAAGCGUGGGUAGCAAACAGG
rnacentral:rRNA from 1 species